AGUGAACGCUGGCGGUAGGCCUAACACAUGCAAGUCGAACGGCAGCACAAGGGAGCUUGCUCCCUGGGUGGCGAGUGGCGGACGGGUGAGGAAUACAUCGGAAUCUACCUUGUCGUGGGGGAUAACCUCGGGAAACCGGGACUAAUACCGCAUACGACCUCGGUGAAGUAGGGAGUCGCAAGACCUUACGCGAUUGGAUG
rnacentral:rRNA from 1 species